AUGCUCUCGCCUUCCAAGUUCCUCUAUCUGAAAUACUUGAGCAUUUAUGUUAAUGGGUUUUGCGAUUGUCUUUCUCUGGUUUAUUUUCUUGGUGCUGCUCCGUCCUUGGAGACAUUCAAACUGCGUGUACCAAUACAGCUACUACAAUCCAUAGAUGAAUUGCUUUCUGAAGACCCCUCGCAUCUAAGGCAGAUUCCAGGAUACCGCCAUGACAAGCUCCGGAGAGUGAGCAUCUGUAGGUUCCCCUGUUCAAAGAGCGUGGUUGAGUUGACGUCCCAUAUUCUGGAAAAUUCAGCAUCGCUCGAGUGCCUUACAUUGAGCACCACCAACGAUAGUUUCAGGUGUUCAGAUGAUCAAUCUGCUAAAUGCUCCUGCUCGAUCGGACCCAUGGAAGCCCAUAAAGCAGCCUUGGUAAUCGAAAGAUACAUUAAGGGGAAAGUUCCCUCUACAGUUCAGCUAGAUGUGGUGGAGCCUUGCAUGCAGCCUUUGCCAUGA
rnacentral:rRNA from 1 species